rnacentral:sRNA from 1 species
UCACUGCAGACUUCGAGCAGCACUGGUGA